rnacentral:rRNA from 1 species
GACGAACGCUGGCGGCGUGCUUAACACAUGCAAGUCGAACGGAAAGGCCUCUUUCGGGGGGUACUCGAGUGGCGAACGGGUGAGUAACACGUGAGUAACCUGCCCUUGACUUUGGGAUAACUUCAGGAAACUGGGGCUAAUACCGGAUAGGAGCUCCUGCUGCAUGGUGGGGGUUGGAAAGUUUCGGCGGUUGGGGAUGGUCUCGCGGCUUAUCAGCUUGUUGGUGGGGUAGUGGCUUACCAAGGCUUUGACGGGUAGCCGGCCUGAGAGGGUGACCGGCCACAUUGGGACUGAGAUACGGCCCAGACUCCUACGGGAGGCAGCAGUGGGGAAUAUUGCACAAUGGGUGGAAGCCUGAUGCAGCAACGCCGUGUGCGGGAGGGCGGCCUUCGGGUUGUAAACCGCUUUCGCUCAUGACGAAGCUUUGUGUGACGGUAGUGGGUAAAGAAGCACCGGCUAACUACGUG